rnacentral:rRNA from 1 species
GAUGAACGCUAGCUACAGGCUUAACACAUGCAAGUCGAGGGGAAACGACAUCGAAAGCUUGCUUUUGAUGGUCGUCGACCGGCGCACGGGUGAGUAAUGCGUAUCCCACCUGCCCAUCACUUGGGGAUAACCUUGCGAAAGUAAGCCUAAUAGCCCAUGAUAUCCCUAGAAGACAUCUGAAAGAGAUUAAAGAUUUAUCGGUGAUGGAUGGGUAUGCGUCUGAUUAGCUUGUUGGCGGGGUAACGGCCCACCACGGCAACGAUCAGUAGGGGUUCUGAGAGGAAGGGCCCCCACAUUGGAACUGGGACACGGGCCAAACUGCUACGGGAGGCAGCAGUGAGGAAUAUUGGACAAUGGGCGAGAGCCUGAACCAGCCAAGUAGCGUGCAGGAAGACGGCCCUAUGGGUUGUAAACUGCUUUUAUAAGGGAAUAAAGUGAGAGUCGUGACUCUUUUUGUAUGUACCUUAUGAAUAAGGACCGGCUAAUUCCGUG